UCAGCCCCACGCAUGCGCGCCGGGAGGGGAGCGGGGCGGAGUGGGCUGAGACUCUGCCGAACCCCGCCCUGGACCCGCAGGCGGGAACAACAGCCCCCAGCGUAGCCAAUCAGAACACAGAGAUGCCUUUGUUUGACGCGGAAGCCAGCAAGUGAGCUUGAAGCUGGGCAAGGGGCGGGGAAGUGGGGGGCAGGCGAUGUUGAGAGUGACAGGAAAACUGGCCAGUGGGCGAGCUGGAGGGAGGGAGGAGGAGCUUCCGGUCCCGCCCCCUCACGCGUGCCCGCCCGAGGGGGUGGUUUGAAGCCUCCGAAGCCUCAGGGGCAAGUUUUUCUCAAAUGUUUAUACUACCAGUGAAUACUGGAGAGGAGAAAGUGAAGCACAGGCACAUAGGGUGCAAGACAUUUGACUUCAGAACCCUUUGAAGGUGUUCCAGGGUGUACUUACGCUAUAAACUGUUAGAGAGAAGGGAAGGAAUUUGGAAAACCCGGAAGCUCUAUUGUCUCUUCAACCACAGGACAAAAUCACAUCAGUCACAUAUCCCACAACUUUUCUUGAGCGCUCUUGCCUACUUAGGAUUUCAGAAAAGGACCCAGGUCAGUGCCACAAAGUAUGCCUUCCUCAGAAAUUUGUCUUCGUCUUGGGACGCUGCUUUCCAGAGCUGUUUCAUGGAGUCACAACUGCACAUUGUUUUAUUACCGCAUACCACAUGCAGCAUUGGAAUGUCACACACAUGCUACAUGAAGGCUAACAGAAACAGACCUUUACUCUUUCCUUUUAUCUGCCAUCUGAGACUCUGAAAGAGCUGCUUAGUAGGCAUUACUUUAAUUUGCAGUUAAGGAUGUGAUCA
rnacentral:lncRNA from 1 species